GUUUUUGCUGUUGCAGCUGUCCACAGGGCUCAGUGGGAUGUCUGCAGGGCUGUGCACCUGGAGUACACCAGUCUCAUCUUAAGGUCAUUGGUGUUGGCUGCGGCGGGAUGAAGCCAUGUCCCGGGGGAAGUGAAUCAUGAAGCUGAGACACCCUUCUCUUCCCAGAGCCAGCAGACUAUUCUCACUAUGUACUGGAAG
rnacentral:lncRNA from 1 species